AUACGGAGGAUCCGAGCGUUAUCCGGAUUUAUUGGGUUUAAAGGGAGCGUAGGCGGACGCUUAAGUCAGUUGUGAAAGUUUGCGGCUCAACCGUAAAAUUGCAGUUGAUACUGGGUGUCUUGAGUACAGUAGAGGCAGGCGGAAUUCGUGGUGUAGCGGUGAAAUGCUUAGAUAUCACGAAGAACUCCGAUUGCGAAGGCAGCCUGCUGGACUGUAACUGACGCUGAUGCUCGAAAGUGUGGGUAUCAAACAGGAUUAGAUACCCUGGUAGUCCACACAGUAAACGAUGAAUACUCGCUGUUUGCGAUAUACAGUAAGCGGCCAAGCGAAAGCGUUAAGUAUUCCACCUGGGGAGUGCGCCGGCAACGGUGAAACUCAAAGGAAUUGACGGGG
rnacentral:rRNA from 1 species